rnacentral:rRNA from 1 species
CUGAGACACGGCCCAAACUCCUACGGGAGGCAGCAGUGGGGAAUAUUGGACAAUGGGGGAAACCCUGAUCCAGCAAUGCCGCGUGAGUGAUGAAGGCCUUCGGGUUGUAAAGCUCUUUCGCACGCGACGAUGAUGACGGUAGCGUGAGAAGAAGCCCCGGCUAACUUCGUGCCAGCAGCCGCGGUAAUACGAAGGGGGCGAGCGUUGUUCGGAUUUACUGGGCGUAAAGGGCGCGUAGGCGGCGAUGAAAGUCAGGCGUGAAAGCCCCGGGCUCAACCUGGGAGGUGCGCUUGGGACUACAUUGCUGGAGUUCGGGAGAGGAGCGUGGAAUUCCCAGUGUAGAGGUGAAAUUCGUAGAUAUUGGGAAGAACACCGGUGGCGAAGGCGGCGCUCUGGACCGAUACUGACGCUGAGGCGCGAAAGCGUGGGGAGCAAACAGGAUUAGAUACCCUGGUAGUCCACGCUGUAAACGAUGUGUGCUAGACGUUGGGGAGCUUGCUCUUCAGUGGCGCAGCUAACGCUUUAAGCAUCCCGCCUGGGGAGUACGGUCGCAAGAUUAAA